GUGUGACGCGCUAGUGUGUUUAUGCAGUUCUCCUGACAAACAGCAGGCGGCGUCACAGACUGUCAGGAGUAACCUAAACAAAGUUGUGGGGUUUCCCUUCAGUUCCUCUCACAGGUCUGCGUAAAAAUAGAAAAUCUGGAAGCGUCACAAGAUUAAGUAUGAUAAAAGAAGCUAAUUAAAGAAUCAUUAUUUUGUAUUUAGGUCACACAGGAGCCCUCGGGCAGCAGUAAAGCAUGUCCUCUACAGGAGUGAUUGACACCUUCUCUGAUGGUGAAUGAAGUCUCCAGCUUCUCUGGGCUUCCGCCACAGCAGUAAACCAGUGCUGCACACUGACGGAUGCAAUCAUCUUUUAUUUCCCAUUAAUGAAACCACCUCAUUUUAUGGCCUACUGAACCGAACAGCAUGGAUUGUGGAUUAAAUGGAGAGGUCUUCAGCCGCAGCGAUGUUAACGUCCCAUGGCUGUUCUCCAGUGAUGAGUCCAGAUUGAGGAUAUGUUGGUACCUGCCCUUCUAUUUUCAUUGCCAGCCAACUCCCUCCAGCCCCCAGUACACCUCCACGCCAUCUGUGCCAACCUGCCGUCUCUCCGUCAGACAGUUUGCAGGUUCCGCCGUGCGUGGCAGGCCUACAGCUGUGCAGACAGCCAGCCCAACAUCUGUGUGUCCUGUGGGACAGACGGGGGGGAAUGUCCCGUUGAUCGACUCAGCUGCUGCUGGCCUUAAACACAGCCACUGGCCGGCAGUUCUGUGGACAGGGUGAGUUUUGCAAUU
ensembl:lncRNA